AGAGUUUGAUCCUGGCUCAGGAUGAACGCUAGCGACAGGCUUAACACAUGCAAGUCGAGGGGCAGCGGGGGUAGCAAUACCCGCCGGCGACCGGCGCACGGGUGAGUAACGCGUAUGCAACUUACCUAUCAGAGGGGGAUAACCCGGCGAAAGUCGGACUAAUACCGCAUGAAGCAGGGGCCCCGCAUGGGGAUAUUUGCUAAAGAUUCAUCGCUGAUAGAUAGGCAUGCGUUCCAUUAGGCAGUUGGCGGGGUAACGGCCCACCAAACCGACGAUGGAUAGGGGUUCUGAGAGGAAGGUCCCCCACAUUGGUACUGAGACACGGACCAAACUCCUACGGGAGGCAGCAGUGAGGAAUAUUGGUCAAUGGCCGAGAGGCUGAACCAGCCAAGUCGCGUGAGGGAUGAAGGUUCUAUGGAUCGUAAACCUCUUUUAUAAGGGAAUAAAGUGCGGGACGUGUCCCGUUUUGUAUGUACCUUAUGAAUAAGGAUCGGCUAACUCCGUGCCAGCAGCCGCGGUAAUACGGAGGAUCCGAGCGUUAUCCGGAUUUAUUGGGUUUAAAGGGUGCGUAGGCGGCCUUUUAAGUCAGCGGUGAAAGUCUGUGGCUCAACCAUAGAAUUGCCGUUGAAACUGGGGGGCUUGAGUAUGUUUGAGGCAGGCGGAAUGCGUGGUGUAGCGGUGAAAUGCAUAGAUAUCACGCAGAACCCCGAUUGCGAAGGCAGCCUGCCAAGCCAUGACUGACGCUGAUGCACGAAAGCGUGGGGAUCAAACAGGAUUAGAUACCCUGGUAGUCCACGCAGUAAACGAUGAUCACUAGCUGUUUGCGAUACACUGUAAGCGGCACAGCGAAAGCGUUAAGUGAUCCACCUGGGGAGUACGCCGGCAACGGUGAAACUCAAAGGAAUUGACGGGGGCCCGCACAAGCGGAGGAACAUGUG
rnacentral:rRNA from 1 species